GUUUGCUUCACUAGUACAUGCGAUAAAACUGAAAAAAUUUAGAGAAGAUUAGCAUAGCCCUUAUUUAAGAAUGACAUGCUAAUUUCUGAAAUGUUCCAUAUUGAU
ensembl:snRNA U6 U6 spliceosomal RNA